GGCCGAGAUCAAAGUCUCUUUCUGUUCAAUACGCCCUUGCCAUUGUUUUAAUUAAUAAGCUUUUUUUUUUUUUUUUGAUUACAUGAGACUAUUGCUCAGAUUACAACUCAUAUACAUGAGACUAUUACUGAUAUUUACAAAUCAGACUAUUACUGUGACCAACUGACAUCAAUGCUAAUGGAGCUCUGCCCAGAUUUUAACCCUCACAAAUAUUCGAGGGAUGUCUACUCCUCACUCAUGGGUAAGGAAGAAGACUACCUUCACUCAAAUUAAUUGAGGA
rnacentral:lncRNA from 1 species